GUUGGUAACGUUGGAGGGACAACGGGGGUGUGACAGACAGUUGAUCUCCCUCUACCUAAAAACAAAUGGGUUCACACGGACAGCCAACAGCUGUGUGAGCAGACAUCCUCACAUGCUCUGGUUGUGAGGGACCACCAAGAAGAUGAACAAGAAUAGACACUUAAUUCCCUAUAGUCACGUUAAUCAGCAUCAGUUGCCAGAUUCAUCAGACUACACCUACCACCCAUCAACGUCUCACUGGUGGACAGACCAGCAUACUCCCCGAUGUGGGGCCUCCUCAGGCCCAGGGCCUCGAUGAUCCAGUAGAACUGCUCAUCCCGAUCGUGGUACUCGGUAGACCUGAGAGCACAGGUCACACCUUCCAGACUGUCCACGAUGGGACGGGCAAAGUUGUGUUUUGUUUAGACUCUGAAAGAAAGAGGGGAGGGGCAGUUUUAACAAUUAAUAUAUAAGGAAUACUUCAUUAUGUCCAAAUGUUGUUGCAAAUACUACAGAUGUUUAAGUCUUAACCCUUGUGUUGUCUUCACUUUGGGACCCUCUCGUGUCCCUCGGGGUCAAACUGACCUGUGACUUAUUUGGGGUUU